rnacentral:rRNA from 1 species
AGCUUGUCGGUUUUAUAUGAUAAGUAGUUUCUGCCCAGUGAUUAUUUAAACGGCCGCGGUACUCUGACCGUGCAAAGGUAGCGUAAUCAUUUGCUUUUUAAUUGAGGGCUUGUAUGAAGGAAAGUUUGAAUGUCCAGCUGUCUCUCUACAAUAAUAAGAAAUUUCUGUUGUUGUGAAGAAGCAACAAUGCUAAAAAAAGACAAGAAGACCCUGUCGAGGUUUACCUUGGAUAAAAGAUAAAACAAAUUAUUCUAUAAGAUUGGCUAAUUUUUAUAGGUUUCGUUGGGGCGACGAAAAAAGACAAAAUCUUUUUUAUUAGCAAUACUUACAAGUUAAAUAACGAUCGGUUAUUUAGACCAUUGAUGAAAGAACUUACCGCAGGGAUAACAGCGUAAUUUUUUUUAAGAGCUCAUAUCGAAAAAAAAGAUUGCGACCUCGAUGUUGACUUAUUGUUUCCUUUGGGUGCAGGUGCUGCUAGGGUUGGUCUGUUCGACCAUUAAAACAAUACGUGAGUUGAGUUCAGACCGGCGUAA